GACAUGACUCUCGGCAAUGGAUAUCUCGGCUCUCGCAUCGAUGAAGAGCGCAGCGAAAUGCGAUACGUGGUGCGAAUUGCAGAAUCCCGCGAAC
rnacentral:rRNA from 44 species